AUUGAACGCUGGCGGCAGGCCUAACACAUGCAAGUCGAACGAGUGGCGGACGGGUGAGUAAUGUCUGGGAAACUGCCCGCUGGCGGGGGAUAACUACUGGAUACGGUAGCUAAUACCGCAUACCAUCGGAUGUGCCCAGAUCGGAUUAGCUAGUAGGUGAGGUAACGGCUCACCUAGGCGACGCUCCCUAGCUGGUCUGAGAGGAUGAUCAGCCACCGUGGGACUGAGAAACGGCCCAGACUCCGAGGGAAGGGAGAAGUGGGGAAUAUUGCGCAAGGGGGGCAACCCUGCCGAAGCAAUGCCGCGGGCAUGAGGAAGGCAUUCGGGUUGUAAAGUUCUUUCGGUAGCGAGGCGUUACCUACAGAAGAAGCAACGGCUAACUCCGUGCCAGCAGCCGCGGUAAUUC
rnacentral:rRNA from 1 species